rnacentral:lncRNA from 1 species
AAUGUGGCAGAGCAGAGAGGGGAAUGAAAUCCCUAGCCGCACCUCAUUGCAAAUCGGGCCUGGCAUCUCUCUUCCUCUCCCUCACCCCUUCCUCUCCACCACCGGCCGCCGCCGCGGCCAGGCCGGCGUAGCGGUGCGCCACCCAGCCAUCCAUCCAUUCCAUCUCCACAACGCACCUCCAGCACCAUCUCCUUCUCCUCCCCGAAUCCAUCCAUCUAUCCAUCCACCACGCCAUCACAUCACCAGCACCCCUCACCACCAGCGCCAUUACUCCACUUCCUCUGCUUCCCUUCUUUUCUGAACCUCAACGCCUUCUGCUGCUGCUCCCUCUCUCAACGCCUCCUGCUGCUGCUCCUUUCUUCUUUCACCCCUCCCUGCUGCCCUUCUACUCUUCCUGCUGCUGCUCUUCUUGCGACCCUGCUGCUGCUCCUUCCUCCCUUACGUCGCUGCUGUUCUUCUCUUUCUCUCUGUACCUUGCUGAUGUCCCAUCUCUCCUAGCGCUGCUGCUGCACUUCUUCUGAAGCCCUCUCCUCACACCCGCUGCUGCUUCUUUUCUCCCCACGCCUCUUGCUGCUGCUCCUAGUAUUUCUGAACCACAAAUCUGCUGUUCUUCUCCACCAAACCAAACCUGUUGUUGUUCUCUUUGUGUGUGUGUGUGUGUGUGUGUGUGUGUGUGUGUGUUUGUGUGAUUCAUAAAGAAAUAUUGUUGUGUGAAGAUGAUAUUUGUUCAGUCCGAAGACAUGUGUUGUUCUUACUUACUUUGUUGAUCAGUAGAGUCUGUACUGUUGCAUUGUGACACUCAUUUCUAUGUAUGAGAACUAGUUAAAUAUAUUAAUAAUGUACUGCACUUGCUAAUUAGUGUCCAGUUUACUGUAGACUGUUGCUCAAGUACUUGUGAUAUAUGAAUAUGUGCGUGUGAAUGUGAUGUGAAACAUUUCUAUUCUAUCCUAUAAUUUUGUUUCUUCCCUCUUUUGCAUGUCAAUAGUUAAAAGUGUUCAUGUCCUGUUGAUUCCCUUUCGUCAUUGAUGUUUGUCUGUGUUAGUGUUUUAAUUUCUCAAGCCUAAUAAAAAUACCAAAAAGAUAGUGAGUAUGUUCUGUAUCUUCCUUUGCUGUUUGUAUUUUCUUUUUUGACAAUCUUCGGGAACAACCUUGUUUAGUUUAGGUUUAUUUUCUUGCAUUCGUAAUCAGAAUUGUGUUACCUAGAUUUAGCCGAGCAUAGUUGCCGUCGCCUAGUCCUUGUGGGGAGCACGACACUCGCGAUUUGGGUGAAAUAUCCCACUGCCACUACAAUCGAUCAACAGAUAAACAAGGCAUUUGCUCGAUAACUGAAAAAAUGCUCACUCCAACCAACCUAACAACCAAAUACAGAUAAACAAGGCAUCUACUCACUAUAAACAACCAAAUAUAGCCAUCCGUGAAACUGAAGUGGACAAUUCAUACUUAAACAUCACAUAGACCUAUUGAACAAUACAUUUUUGCAUAACUGGAAUAAUUAAACACGGCACAGUUAAAGCAUCGCACGGCAAAUGCUACUACAACAAAGGGUACGGGUUGGCAAGCUAGAAAAGGUAAUAUUUGCUGAUAGAAUUUUGCCUCACAUUUCAUGGAUGGGAUCCUUCCAGUUGGAAGAGCACAGACCCAUGGUGCGCUCUCUAAUGUCAUCGAUGGGCUGUUUCACCUUGGAAGAACCUUUGUGGGUGCCCUCCUCGUGGUCGUGGUCGAUGAGAUCUGACUUGGCAAUUGAGGAUCCCAAGCCGCUGUCGUAGAACGUGUCCUUCAGAAGUGACAAAAUGAGCUCGAUGGCGUAUAAAGCUCGUAAAUCCUUGACCACUUGGCGGAGGAGAUCAGCGGCAGGGCCGUCGAAGAGAUUGACGGCGGUUGAACCAGAGGGGUUGGGGAUGGACCACUUAACCUGUGACAUGGCCCACGUGAAGCCGUCAGUGUGGACGAGCUUGAUGUCGUAGCCAGCUUUCCCGAGAUACAGUAAUACGCUAGCCCGCUGACAUGAAGCCUUCGGCAUGGCAACGUAGUCAAUGUCUUUGCCGGCUUCCGCGGCGACGUGUUGCUCCGGGAUCGACAGGUCGGGGAGAAGCGGCCACCUCGCCAACGUCCGUCAGAGAGGCCAUGAUAAACCUCUUCUUGGCCGAACGCUCGUCGGGCUCCCCGGGAUACGUGGUCGAGAUUAGGCUGCGACAUUCUGGAGCAGGGGAUGUGGAUCUGGCGGGGAGGGACAUUGCAAGCCUCAUCUAAAAACUCAGAGGAGUGGGGCGACGGUAUGGGAAUCGCUGGAUAACCUGAACUUUAUUAUCUAAGCUAGGAGGAACGGGCAGACCGGCAGGGUUGGCGGCGGCGCCGGCGGCGGCCGCGAGCUAGAGUUUG